GUCUACAGCCAUGCUACCCUGAACAAGCCCGAUCCUGUCUCAUCUCGGAAGCUAAGCAGGAUUGGGCCUGGUUAGUACUUGGAUGGGAAACCGCCUAGGAAGACCAGAUGCUGUAGGUG
rnacentral:rRNA from 1 species